ACCUUAUUGAAGAGUCGCAGAAUAGGACGAAACGGCUGUCCAGUGU
rnacentral:hammerhead_ribozyme from 1 species